rnacentral:lncRNA from 1 species
AAGCAUUCAAAUGAGGGCAGGUGCAUGGUAUCUAAAUGGGAAAUUGAUCACCAACCCUUCAUCAUAAAGUCAUCCAACUAGAUGAUCAUAUAUUUACAAAUUAAGAUUCUCCAAUUUUCUAUGAAAGUGGGUCCGGGAAGUCACAAUCAGGCAAGCGCGUCUACGGAAAGUCAAACUCCGCGAGAUCAUGGCUAAAACCUUACGCGAGAAACAGAGGAUCCUUACAGAAGUGUUUAUCGCCUUUUUUUCCUUUUUCUUUUUUUAAAAAUUGAACGUUGCCUUGCUAAUUAAAAACUAUUUUUACCAACAUAAUUAAAAACUAU